rnacentral:rRNA from 1 species
GUGUUCUGGCAUAUAAGCCAUCCGGUGAAUGGCUCGGCUCAAGCGCUGAUGAAGGACGUACCAAGUUGCGAUAAGCCUCGGCGAACCGCAUGGAGGUUUUGAACCGAGGAUCUCCUAAUGGGACCUCUCAGUGCGUAAGUGCUGAUCCGUAAGGAUCGGGAACGCCCCGGAUUGAAACAUCUUAGUAGGGGCAGGAAAAGAAAUCAAUCGAGAUGCCGCUAGUAACGGCGAGCGAAAACGGCAGAGUUUAAACUGAAUCCCUACCGAAAGGAAAGGGAAAUGUAGUGUCAUAAGCCAAGCCAUAUACAGUGCAAACCAGUGAAGUCGAACUUGUCUGGAACGUCAGAUCAUAGAGUGUGAUAGUCACGUAGACGUAAACUGGCGGACUGUGGUUUGGUCUUGAGUACCGUGGGUCGGAAUUCUCGCGGGAAUUCGGGAGUCAUCAACUUCCAAAACUAAAUACGUCUUGAGACCGAUAGCGUAGUAGUAGCGUGAGCGAAAACUGAAAAGUACCCCAAGAAGGGAGGUGCAAAGUGCCUGAAAUCGGAUGGUAAUGGAGCGAUACGGCGUGAAAGGAUCUGUAUAGCGAAGGAAUAUGUCGCGAGGCAUUAGUACGGGCUAUACUGCCAGCGUCGUAUAUUACGUUUUGAAGAACGGGCCAGGGAAUGUACCCAAGUGGCGAGGCUAACCUCAUAUGGGAAGCCGAAGCGAAAGCAAUAUGCGCGCAACACUGUGAGGCGCAGCGUAUACAAGUGCGUGGAGUCACUAGAGUACGACCCGAAUCCUAGCGAUCUAGGCGGAGGCAGGUUGAAGCGUCUCGAAAGGGGCGUUGAGGACCGCAAUAAGCUAACAGUGCGUGAGGGAGACAACCCAGACCGUGGUUAAGGUCCCAGAGUGUCGGCUAAGUGUAAACACAAAAAGGGCGUCCCAAGCCCAAAACAACUGGAAGGUGAGCUCAGAAGCAGCUAUCCUUUAAAGAGUGCGUAACAGCUCACCAGUCGAGGUUUGGGGCCCCGAAAAUGGACGGGGCUCAAGCCGACCACCGAUACCACGGGACACCGAAAGGUGAUUCUGUAGGAAGGCGUCUCGUUUGGGUAGAAGCAGGGCUGUGAAGUCCUGUGGACCAUCGUAUACGACAAAAGGGAAACAGGUUAAUAUUCCUGUACCAUUUAGUCAUACCCGCAAGGGGCCGACGCAUCCGGAUAGAUCAAGCAGGCAUGCCUGCCUGUCCAAGCGUUUAAACUGGUGGAGAACCGUAAUGGUGAGAAGCCGGUGAAGGCGUGAUGGCUCAAGUUGAUUAAUUCCAGGUGCCCGUGAAAAGGCGACUAAAUGCUCGUACCAAGAACCGACACUGGUGCCCCUAGUUGAGAAGACUAAGGCGUGUCGGCAUAAACUGGCUAAGGGAAUUCGGCAAAUUAGCUCCGUAACUUCGGAAUAAGGAGUGCCUGCCUUGAAGAAGGCAGGUCGCAGAGACCAGGGAGCACUGACUGUCUAAUAACAACAUAGCUGACUGCUAAUCCGAAAGGAUGAGUACAGUUGGUGAAUCCUGCCCAGUGCAGGUACCUGAACACCCGGUACAACGGGACGAAGGGCCUGUAAACGGCGGGGGUAACUAUAACCCUCUUAAGGUAGCGUAGUACCUUGUCGCUUAAUUGGCGACUUGCAUGAAUGGAUCAACGAGUGCUCUACUGUCCCUAGUCAGAACCCGGUGAACUUUACAUUCUAGUGCAGAGUCUAGAGACCCCUUAGGGGAAGUGAAGACCCCGUUGAGCUUUACUGCAGCCUGUAGCUGGGUUGUGGUUUUGGAUGCGCAGUGUAGGUAGGAGGCGUCGAUGCCUUACUUUCGGGUAAGGUGGAGCCGACAAUGAGACACUACCCUUCUGAGACUACGACCCUAACUUGGAAACGAGGACACCUAUAGGUGGGCAGUUUGGGUGGGGCGCCACGCCCUUGAAAAGAUAUCAAGGGCGCCCAAAGGUUGACUCAUGUGAGUCGGAAACUCACAGUAGAGUGCAAGAGCAUAAGUCAGCCUGACUGGAUUUCGCAUAACAAGAAAUCCUGAGACGAAAGUCUGGUCUAGCGAACCACUACGCCCUCUUGGUGAGGGCUAUUGACUACAGAAAAGCUACCACAGGGAUAACAGAGUCGUCGCCGGCAAGAGUACAUAUCGACCCGGCGGCUUGCUACCUCGAUGUCGGUUCUUUCCAUCCUGGUCGUGCAGCAGCGGCCAAGGGUGAGGUUGUUCGCCUAUUAAAGGAGAUCGUGAGCUGGGUUUAGACCGUCGUGAGGCAGGUCGGUUACUAUCUAUAAGGGGUGUCUUGAAGUCUGAGGGUAAGUUGCAUUUAGUACGAGAGGAACUGUGCAACGGUGCCACUGGUGGACCUGUUGUCUGGCAAGGCAACGCAGGGCAGCUACGCACUAAAGGAUUAAAGCUGAAAGCAUCUAAGCUUGAAACCUCACCUAAAAAGAGACUUCUCAGGACUCUCGUAAAAGACGAGUUUGAUAGAGUCGGGGUGUAAGCACCAAGGUGACGAGGUGUUGAGCCCGUCGACUACUAACGUCCUUGCUAGAUUUG